AGUGAACGCUGGCGGCGUGCUUAACACAUGCAAGUCGAGCGGAGUCAGUAAGAGGAAGUUUUCGGAUGGAAUCUUAUUGAUUUAGCGGCGGACGGGUGAGUAACGCGUGAGCGACCAACCUUGCACAGGGGGAUAACGGACCGAAAGGUUCACUAAUACCGCAUGAGACAACGGUGUUGCAUGACACAGGGGUCAAAGGAGCAAUCCGGUGCAAGACGGGCUCGCGUCCGAUUAGGUAGUUGGAGGGGUAACGGCCCACCAAGCCUAUGAUCGGUAGCCGACCUGAGAGGGUGAUCGGCCACAUUGGAACUGAGAUACGGUCCAAACUCCUACGGGAGGCAGCAGUGGGGAAUAUUGGGCAAUGGGGGAAACCCUGACCCAGCAACGCCGCGUGAAGGAAGAAGGUUUUCGGAUUGUAAACUUCUGUCCUUGGUGAAGAGAAGAAGACGGUAGCCAAGGAGGAAGCCCCGGCUAACUACGUGCCAGCAGCCGCCGUAA
rnacentral:rRNA from 1 species